AUUGAACGCUGGCGGCAGGCCUAACACAUGCAAGUCGAACGAGUGGCGGACGGGUGAGUAUUGUCUGGGACACUGCCCGAUGGAGGGGGGUAACUACUGGAAACGGUCGCUAAUACCGCAUACCAUGGGAUGUGCCCAGAGGGGGUUAGCUAGUAGGUGGGUUAACGGCUCACCUAGGCGACGAUCCCUAGCUGGUCUGAGCGGAUGACCAGCCACACUGGAACUGAGACACGGUCCAGACUCCUACGGGAGGCAGCAGUGGGGAAUAUUGCACAAUGGGCGCAAGCCUGAUGCAGCCAUGCCGCGUGUAUGAAGAAGGCCUUCGGGUUGUAAAGUACUUUCAGCGAGGAGGCGUUACUCGCAGAAGAAGCACCGGCUAACUCCGUGCCAGCAGCCGCGGUAAUUC
rnacentral:rRNA from 1 species